rnacentral:rRNA from 1 species
UACAGAGGUGGCAAGCGUUGUUCGGAAUUACUGGGCGUAAAGGGCUCGUAGGCGGCCAACUAAGUCACACGUGAAAUCCCCAGGCUUAACCUGGGAACUGCGUGUGAUACUGGAUGGCUUGAAUUCGGGAGAGGGAUGCAGAAUUCCAGGUGUAGCGGUGAAAUGCGUAGAUAUCUGGAGGAAUACCGGUGGCGAAGGCGGCAUCCUGGACCGAGAUUGACGCUGAGGAGCGAAAAGCUAGGGGAGCAAACGGGG